rnacentral:lncRNA from 1 species
AAUUCAAUUCAAUUCUUUGUUAGACAAAACAUCAAUUUCACCGUAUAGAUAACAUCAUAGCUUUCAAUUCUAUUAUGUGUUACAAAAAACAUGAAAUAAUAGAUUUCCAAAUUGUGUUUCUAUCUCAUUCAUAUAAGACUGUUUUCACCCAUUUUCCCAAUAAAAAGGGAAAAGGAAAAUAUCUACAAAAUGUCAAUACUAAUCUAUGUCACUCUCUUGCACUCCCUUAUUCAUACACCAUUGAAGCCUGAAGUUAUAUGCAAAAACACAUCUUCUCUGCAAGGAAUUGUGAGGCCACCCAUUGGAUGAUCAUAUCCAAAUUCUUCCUCUGCUUCGCUCAGCAACACUUGAAAUGAAGCUUGGUUCAAGUAUGACAUGGGGAUCACAAACCGCUUCAUUUCUUCUCCCACGUACACCGCAAGACAUCCCUUUGGCACAUUCCCUACUUUUGAUGAUGUUUGGCUGCUACUUAAUGAAGCACGUCUAAUAGCUGCAGGUAAACGGAAGCCCAUUUUAAAUGUUUCAAAUAACAAGCUUAAGCUCUGAAAUUUAUCUUAGUUUUGAUGCUUGAGUAUGUGAAUGAGCUGUGAUGGUUGGUUCUGAGGGAAGAUACUGUAUUUAUAGUCUUCAAGACUUUCUUCAAAUCCAUUUCUUUGAUAAAUUAUUGUUGUUAAAGGACGGGGUCCAUAAGAUGACGGAUCACCACAUGGUUUUGCCUUGGACGGUCAAAGGUUAUAUUAUAGCUUACCCCACCUUCUGAAUGAAAGGCCAGUAGAUAGACAACCCACUUGGUAGUCAAAUGAAAUGGCUAGAUUGAACUUAAUGCUUUGAUUUAUUAUGAAUACUCGUUUUUUGUUAGACACGCAUUCGACAUGUCACAUGUUUUCUUCAUAUUGAUAACACGGCUCAAUAUAAGUUCUGCUAUUGUGUGAAUUCUAAUAUAGAUAGAUAAUGCAUAGUUGGAUACAAAUCAUCAUAAAUGUAGGGACGCAACAGGGAACUUUCAUGGCUUGGUCAACAGUCAAAAUAUAUUAGCAGUACAUGUUUGAACCCACAAGUAGAAGACAUACUGGACCGAUAUUUUUUAAGUUCAACAGUCAUAAGUGUCACUGCCAAACUAGUCAAAGGUCUCCCCAUUUAAAACUGAUAAACUGUUAUGGCGCAUUUUAGAUGAGUUUCUAGCUUUAAACAACUGUGAUGACUUUUUCACUUUAAUUUAUGUUUGACUCUUAACUAACAUUCACUUUUAUGAAUAGUUGACGAGAAUUCAAAGUAAAGGGUUGUCGUUUGCCGUUGAUAAGUGGUAAGCCUAGACUCUAUUAUUUGAUGGGUUUAGCUUCCUGAUUUAGGCUCUAAUUAUAUAUGUCUCUAAUCUUAAUUAACAUAUGCUCUGUUCAGACUUUGUUUAGUCAUGGAAUUAAGCCCCCGAAACGUAUGAACUGCGCUUUUCACUCUCUUUACCAAAAGUAUAUUUUUAAUUUGAGUAUACUAAAUGUAGGGAGAGCUGCUAGGAACUCAGUAAAGGGUUGCCACUCAUUGCGUGCUUUCGGACAACAACUUCGACGACAAGUCCAUGUGAAGAGCACGAGAAGUCUUUGUGAUUGUGGUCCUUACCACAUUCUUCAAGCAUCACUAGUAAAAUGCAACAUAUUAUGUGAUCAGUUAUUGGUAUGUUUUUUCAUUUUAUUUCUACUGACUUGCUUCCAAAAUUCUAUAAUGUGACAAUCAAGUUAAAUAUCUUUCUAGGUUAAAGAAUGGUUUUUCCUAUAAAUUUUUUGUUUUGAGUUUUGUUGUAUCAUGUAUGGUGUGGUAAUAUAUACCACUUUUGAAUUACCAGAUCUAUUAGUAAUAAUAGUCCGUAUUUCUGUAAAAUUGGUACAUGGCUUGUGUUUAUGCCUGUAAUGAAAAUAUUUAAGAUGACACAAUAAACAACAUAUGAAUUGAAUUCACAAGAAUAUAGUUUGAUGAUAUUCUCAUUUCAGAUUUCCAUUUAAGAGGAAACAUAACAAAAUUCCUCAAGUACAAAAAUUGUCUCAACUAGUCAAUCCUACACUGUUCUAUGUUAUAAUACAAAUAUGACUUUUUCAUUCGGUAUGAAUUAAUUAUAGGCCGUUUAACCGAGAUGCUGUAUGUAAGAAGACAUCUUCCUUGCAGGGAAUAGUAAGACCGCCCAUUGCAUGAAAGUAACCAAAUUCCUCUUCAGCUUGACUAAGCAAUUCUUGAAAUAAAGGCUCGUUUAAGAAUGAUAUUGGAAUCAUGAACCUCCUCGCUUUCUCUCCAACAUACACUACGAGAUAGCCUUUUGGGACUGCCACUUCUUUGCUAGAUGAUUGGAUUGCACUAAAUGAUGAUCGUCUAAUACCAGGUAAGCGAAAACCCAUCCUUGUUUUGGUUUAUUGACAAUAGAAUGAUCUCAAAGUAGUAGAAGAAAGAAGUGAACUUGAUUUCUGAUGCUUCAAAGUAUGAAUGGUUUGUGUUACCGGUAAACUCAGUAAUGGAUAUAUAUAGAAAACCAAUUGUAUGGUGAAUGAGUUAUUGAAUGUGGUUUAGUGGAGCCAUGGCUCUUUAAUGAUCACAUGGCGCUGUCUUGAAGGCUUUCAUAGAGGACUGUAUGAAACGUGAGAUUACAUGCCCCACCUUUUGGAAAAUUAGUCUAUAAAAGAGACCUGAGAUAGCUAACUUAAUAUAUUUUAGACAAGCUCAAACACAUCAAAUAUCUUGCUCUGGUUUUUAUAAGACAAGUGAUAUCUGCCAGUACUUUAAAUCCAAUCAAUAAACAAUGAAAUAUUCUUGAAAAAUUAUGCAACUUUAUAUGGAUAGACCGCUGCCACAUAUUGACGUAGCCGUAUAAUCUGGCUGUAUAUUCACCUUCAACACAAGUAAAGAAUACCUGAUUUGGAUGAAGAUUUAAAUUUGAUCAACACAGCCUUUCUGUGGACAAGCUAUUGAUAUAAAUCAUACGUCAAAGCUGCUAGAAAACAAUUUGCUACAAUAGGAGGUUAGAGGUAUGCUGACAUGCUGAAAACAUAAGAAUCGUGUCAAUGCAUUGGCUUAAAAAUUAGUAGGUUUUCUUAUCUAUGUAGUCUAAUUUCAUUUUGUUAAUGGUCACCAUGUUAGAACAGCUUCUUAAUGUGGGACAUACAUGUAAUUACUCUCUCAAUUCUUAAGCAAAUUAUUCAAUCUUAGAGAAAGACCUCUAGACAGUAGCAUGUGAUCUGUUGUGAACCAUAGUCUGGCCCUUCAAGAACAAUAAAUAUGUGCAAUUUAUAAAUAGUGUUUGACUGAUAUUUCUCAUUAUUGUACAGAUCGUAUAUCAACAUUAAGCUGUGUUGUCAAUAGGAAGAGAACAUGUGCCAUGUCUGAUGCAUGUCUGAAAAUAAAUGAGUAGGCAUUGUACAAGUAUUGAGUUUAACAAGCACACAUCUCAUUUGAUUUUCAGUGGUUACGGUUUGCACUCUUGUUGAAUUUAUUGAUCCUUUAUAGAGGCAUAUAAAACAGAACCAUGUGAUCUAUUGUCUCAUGGGCCCCUUCAUUUUAACAAUAAUUUCUCAAACAAAUGGAUUUCAAGAUACUAUUGGAAACUAUAAAUGCACCAUCUUCCUUCACAACAUAACAAACCACUCAAGCAAACAAAUUUAGAUACACUUUUCUUAAAUCUGAGAAAUUCAGCUUAUUUUUCAAACCAUUAGAAGAUGGGUUUUCGAUUACCUUCUAUUAGACGUGCUUCUUUUACAGGUAGCCAAGCAUCGCCAAAAGCAUUGAAUGUGCCAAAAGGUUAUCUUGCAGUGUAUGUUGGAGAGAAAAUGAAGCGCUUUGUUAUCCCUACGUCUUACUUGAACCAACCUUCAUUUCAAUACUUGUUGGGUGAAGCAGAGGAAGAAUUCGGCUAUGAUCAUCCAAUGGGCGGCCUUACAAUUCCUUGCACACCAGAUGUUUUCUUGCAUAUUACUUCUCGCUUCAAUGGACUAUAAAUCUAGAGCUGCUAGAGACUGACAUUAGAUUAGCAGUGACAUUUUGUACAACAGUCACAAUUUAUAAUUAUAUAGAAUGUCCAUCUGAAUGACAAAUUCAGGAACAAAAUAUUUGUCAUUAUUUAUUUCUAAUCAUAAUGACAUAUUAUAUUCAACAACUGAAUGGGUUCCUAUAUAUUGUUUAUCACAAUUCAGUCCAAUCAGUAAUAUUUUACUUGUUUUGAAGGAGAAAAUACACCCAGAGAGAAAAUUUGAAACAUAUUGAACAUCAAACAAAUUGUUCUACAUUUAUUGGCCUAAUUAAUUAUCUAUCCAAACUAUAAUUGUAGAUAAACUACUUGUAUCUAAGUUCAAUUUUUUUUACAUGCGUCAUGAUUCUAUUCUAUCAACUGCUUCUUCCUCUAGGCAGAGCAAUGAACUGAAAAUAAGUUGCAGGAUAGUUAAAUGUUUGUUUUUUCUGUUGGGUGAAGUAGUUUGAUUACAACAACUCUGAUUAAGGGAAGCUAAGCCAGAGCCUAGUACUUGGGUUUAGCUGAUGGUCCAGCAAAACUUUGAAUUAUGUUAUUUAUAUUGACUUGAAAUUCAUGUUUAACUGCCAUUUUAUGUGUAGAUUAUGGUGGUNUAUGGCUGAACACAGAGAACUGGCAAUAGAAAUUCAUGAUUAAGGGAAUGAUUCCUCAGUUGCCAUGUUACAUAUCCAUUUAACUCAACAUCAUCAUAUAACUGCUAAGGUUAGUGAUUUUAUUCAAAAUGACUGAUGGAUUGUUCCUCACACUAUCAAGCGAGCUUACCCCGAUAUCACCCAGAUUUUGCAUGAUGCUAUCAUUCUUCAAUUUGAGUCGCAAGAUCAUUUAUAUGGAAGCAUUCCACUAAUGGAACUCCUACUUUUAGGUAUGCACAUCAAUUUUAUUUCCCUCCCCCUCAAGAGUUUUCUUGGGCCAAGCUUAUUUUGGAGGAUUGUUUACUACAAAUAGUUACUGCUGAAAAUCUGAUUAGCAAAGGUCUUUGUGUGGUUUUUCAAACUAUUAUACUGUUGAUGCUUUUAAGUGUCAGACUAGUCAAAGUUCUUCACUUAAAAUAAAUAAACAGACGUAAGUAGGCAAGAGAUCAUGGCCUAAUGUGGAUGAGUUUCUAGCUUUAAACAAAUUUGAAGACUAUUUGACUCUUGUUUUUUUUGGUUUAGGUUUGACUUUUAGCUAACAUUCAGUUUUAUUGAGGCUGCUAGGGAAUUCCAAAAGUAAAGGGUUUCCCGUUGCCGUUUGUUGGCAGUGUUAUAGGACAACAACUUUUGAACCAUCAUCAUAUGAAAGAGUAACAUGUAAGUUCAAAUGUGAUUAUAGUCACCCAACCACCUUUUCAAUAUUCCUGUUUUCAUUUCAUUUCAAUGCUACUGGCUUGCUUCAAAAUUCUAUAAUGUAAAACAAGUUGAACAAGCGAGAAGCUGUAAGAACACAUCUUCCGUUCGAGGAGUUGUAAGACCACCUAUUGAAUGACAGUAAUCGAAUUCCUCUUCAACUAGGCUUAGAAAUUCUUGAAAUAAAGGCUCGUUCCAGAGUGAAACUGGAAUCAAGUACCUUUUAAUUUUCGCCAUAAGAUAGUCUUUUGGUACUUCCACUUCUUUGCUUUAGUAGCACUAAUUGAUGAUCGUCUGCCAGGUAAGCGAACAACAAGUUCUUCAUCUAGACAGAGAAAUCACCUGAACAUAAGUUGCAAGAAAGUUAAAUGUUUGUUUUGUCUGUUAGUUGGCUACAUAAUAUAACUUCAAAGGCCCCGAGACGUUGUCUGAUCACAACAACUCCGUUUCAGCCGAUGAUCCAGCAAAACUGUGAAUUAUUUGUAGUUUUUCCUCAAUCUAAAUUAACUCAAUUACAAUCGGAAUCACCAAUUUGAUGGACAUUACAUAUCAAUUAGUGAUGAGGAUGCAAAUAAGUAAUUUUUUUCUUCUGUUGUGGUAUCUAUAUUGACUUGGAAUUCAUGUUUAACUGCUAUUUUGUUUGUAUCUAUAUGGCUAGACACAGAAAACUGGCAAUGGAAGACUUUUCAUUAUUGGGUCAAUAAGUGGUAAACCUGAAGUCUUUUAUUUGCUAAGUUUACCUUCUGUUUUAGGCUUUAAAUAACUACGUCUCCAGUAUUAAUUUAUAUUAGUUUGAUUAGAUUAAUUCACAAAAAACAACAGAUGAUUUCACAAGAGUAAAGUUUGGUUAGAUUCUCAUUUCAGAUUUCCACUUAAGAGGCAACAUCAAAAUUGACAAAGAAAUUCCUGAUGUACAAAAAUUGUCUCAACUAGUCAACCUACACUGUUCUAUGCUAACAUUCAUAUGAAUUUUUUGCGGUAUGAAUUAAUUAUAGGUUUAUCAAACGAGAAGUUGUAUGUAAGAAGAUAUCUUCCUUGCAUGGAAUUGUAAGACCACCCAUUGGAUGAGAGUAACCAAAUUCCUCUUCAGCUUGGCUAAGCAAUUCUUGAAAUAAAGGCUCGUUCAAGAAUGACACGGGAAUCAAGAACCUCUUCGCUUGCUCUCCGACAUAAACUGCAAGAUAGCCUUUUGGGACUUCCACUUGUUUGCUAGAUGAUGAUCGUCUAAUAGCAGGUAAGCGAAAACCCAUUCUUGUUUUGUUUCUUGACAAUAGAAUGAUCUCAAAGAAGUAGUAGAAGAAAUAAGUGAACUUGAAUUCUGAUGCUUCAAGGUAUGAGAAGAAUGGUUUGUGUUGCUUGGAAACCCAGUGAUGGAUAUAUAUAUAUAUAUAUAAAGUUCAUUCUAGCCUUAUGCGAAAGAUGGAGGCCAGAGACACACACAUUUUGGUUUCCAACCGGUGAGUGUACCGUGACGUUGGAAGACGUCUACAUGCUUUUAGGACUACGAAUUGAAGGCAAAACUGUUAAUGGUAAGACCAACUAUGCAAAUUCAAUUUGCAUGGAGCUUUUAGAAACUGAUUUGUUAGAUGAUAAUGCUAGAGGUCAAGGUAUACUACUCUUACGCCUAAAGUCAUAUUAUAAUAGUUUAUAUUUAGAUGAGCAUUCUACCGAAGAUGCUCGAAUAAUAAAAACUAGGUGUUACAUUAUGCUGUUAUUAGGUUCCUUUUUAUUUCCCGAAGGUAGUGGUUCUAGCAUGCAUAUUAUGUACUUACCUCUACUUAGACAUGUAGAAAGAAUAGGUAGUUACAGUUGGGGAUCCGCUUGUCUAGCCUAUCUCUAUAGUUCGUUGUGCAAAAAUUCCCACAAAGACACAUCUACAUUUUCUGGAUGUGCUGUGUUGCUACAAGCAUGAGGUUGGUCAAGACUAUCGUCUCUAGCACCGGUCAAUAACAACCCUUUCACUUUUCCAUAUGCAAAAAAGUAAGUUGUUUAAAUUGCUAUAUCUUUACUUACUUCCUUAAAGUUUAUUACCUCAAACUAAUUUUGUUUAACAUUUUGGUGUAGAUGGUCGGCACGUGGUAUGAGUUACAACAGAUGUCCGAGACACUGUAUUACUCAGUAUCGCAACCUGUUGGAUCACCUUCGACCGACAGACGUAAGCAAAAUAACUUCAUUAUUCUUCAUAAUUAUAUUCACUUUUCUACAUUCAUUUAAAAAUCCUAUGUCUUUAACAUUUUCAGUUCAUUUGGCGUCCAUACCUUAAUCUGGAUCAUGAGCAUGAGGUCAACGCAGAAGACGCAGCCGUAUGGACAGCAUGCACACCGAUAAUACGGUUCACAACUGUGGAGAUGCACAACACCGAUCGUGUGAAGCUGCAGUUUGGUAUGGUUCAGAAUAUCCCAGAUCCCCCAGUUAGUCUAGGAGAAUGGCAUAUGCGUAAAGUGAACGACCAAUGGAACUUCAACCCUUGGCAAACCUUCGCAAGAUCAGAGUGCCGCAAGUGGAAGCACCGUCAUGACCAUGUCUUAACUGACGCAGUCAUGCCAAAUGAGGUAAAACCAAUUCGUACUUAUAUGGCUUGGUACAGAUCGGUUGGUUUUCAAUUCAUCGCCGAUGAUAUGUACCUCUACGGCCCACGCCAGACAAGUUACACACAAGAAGGAUUAACAUCUAACCCCCAACAACAUUUUCAGCCCGGUUUCUCACAACCACCUAUCGUCAAACUUUCCGUUCCACAAACACACAAACAUACAACCAAAACAUGCUAUUCACCCAACCCCAAUACCAAGAACAUACCCCAUACCACCACCAACAAAUGGACCAUCAACCUCAGACCGACAUCGCUUCGCCCCCACACCAUCACCCUACCAAAGUCGCCUUAGCCAAAACACUAACCGCCUCUCCUCCUACCGUAGCCAAGAAGCCCAAACAUCACAAAACCAAAACAUCCCACAACCCUAUGUCUUCCAAACACCCCAACAACCUUUCCAACCUUUCCCAGACGCAUCAUUCACACCCAUGUCUCCCUUCAACCGUCCCGGUCGCCCAUCCAUGAGUCAACCACACCCCAACUUCUCUGGCAUGGGUCAUGAGCUCAGCUACGCCAGUACACCAUCAUUGAAUACUGAAGACUAUGCUGAGUUGGUUGAAUACCUCAACGGAUCUUCUCCUGUAGGAGGUAAUGACGCUUCUGGCCCCUCAGAUGAACAAACACCGGUGCAGAAUCGUCAACGUGGGUUAUGGCCAAGGGUUAGGGUAGCUAGGGGAUGUGGGACCGGAGGUCGGUUAGGUGAUCCCGGUCAUCACCAUUAGGAUUCUUUGUGUAAACUCCAAAUUUUAUUAAUAUCAAGUCGUAUUAUAUCAAAUUUAUCUUUGUGUAAACUCCAAACAUUAGGUUUCUUUGUCUAAACUCCAUUUUGGCAAAAUUCACAUACACAUGUUUUGACUGAAACCCUAAUUUUGGGUCAACUACCCAAGAACCUAACUCACUCAUUUUUUAUGAUUUUGAGGUGGGACAAAGUGCAUUGCAAAGUUUGAGAUGUCUACUUAAAUUGUUAUGUUGGACAAAAUUUCAUAAUUAAAAAAUAAACACAUGAUAAUACAAAACAUUAUAGGCCACAUAACAAUUGAAAUGUCAAAGAGUCCAAGUUCAGGUGCCCAUACCUUUCUAAAAAAAAAUGCAAAUGAUGCAAAAUUUUAGUCCAAAUUCAUUGUCUUGAAAAGAUCUACAACUUUUAUGUUUAAGGUUUUGUCAUUUGAGGCUUUUAUCAUUCAAACAGAAGGGCUUGAAGUUGGUCCCUUUUGGCAAAAUUCACAUACACAUGUUUUGACAGAAACCCUAAUUUUGGGUCAAGAUCGCAAGGACCUAACUCACUCAUUUUUAAUUAUUUUGAGGUGGGACCAAGUGCAUUGCAAAAUUUGAGAUGUCUAAUUCAAAUGUUAUGUUGGACAAAAUUUCAUAAUUCUAAAAGAAACACAUGCGAUAAUGCAAAACAUUAUAGGUCAGAUAACAGUUGAAAAACUCAGUAGUCCAACUUCAACUGCCCAUAACUUUCUAAAAAAAAAUUCAAAUGAUGCAAACUUUAUGUCCAAAUUCAUUGUCUUGAAAAGGUUUACAACUUUCAUGUUGGAGGUGUUCUCAUUUGAGGCUUUUUUAAGGGAGUCGCCAAUUGGAUUGGCGCCUCCUCUUAAAAAUUACACAUAGGUGCCAAUUGGAUUGGCUAGGGCACCUGCCCUAGCCAAUCCAAUUGGCGCCUCCCUUUAAGUUUUAAGAGGAGUCGCCAGUCCAAUUGGCGACACCUCCUAAAAGUGGGGUAGUUUGGGAAUUUUUUUGAAACGUGGGGUAUUUUGGGAAUUUUUUCGAAAAACUGGGUUAUCUCGGUAAAAAAACCUAUAUUCUCCACCUCCAUCAGUUAUGAGUAUCUUGAGUUAUUUUUAUUGCUAUUUCUCAUUUGUCACAUUGAACCUUUUUUAAAACAUACAACACUUCAGCCUUUGUCCGAUCUGAUCACCCAAAUGAAAAACAAGGAGAGUUUGUUGGACUUGCAAUGUUAUAUUAUGAGAUAAAUGAAUUCACAAAAAUUUAACAUAUCAAUUCACAAGAAUAUAAUUUGAUUAUGUUCUCAUUUCAGAUUUCCACUUAAGAGGAAACAUCAAAAUUGACAAAGAAAUUCCUGAUGUACAAAACUUGUCCCAACUAGUCAACCUACACUGUUCUAUGCUAACAUUCAUAUGAUUUUUUUGCAGUAUGAAUUAAUUAUAGGUUGUUCAAACGAGAAGUUGUAUGUAAGAAGAUAUCUUCCUUGCAUGGAAUUGUAAGACCACCCAUUGGAUGACAAUAACCAAAUUCCUCUUCGGCUUGGCUAAGCAAUUCUUGAAAUGAAGUCUCGUUCAAGAAUGAUACUGGAAUCAAGAACCUCUUCGCUUUCUCUCCAACAUAAACUGCAAGAUAGCCUUUUGGGACUUCCACUUCUUUGCUAGAUACUUGGCUUGCACUAAAUGAUGAUCGUCUAAUACCAGGUAAGUGAAAACCCAUUCUUGUUUUUGUUUCUUCACAAUAGAAUGAUCUCAAAGAAGUAGUAGAAGAAAGAAGUGAACUUGAUUUCUGAUGCUUCAAGGUAUGAGAUGAAUGGUUUGUGUUGCUUGGAAACCAAUGAUGGAUAUAUAUAGACUUUGAAAACCAAUUGUAUGGUGAAAGAGUUAUUGAAUGUGGUUUAGUGGGAGCCAUGGCUCAUUAAUGAUCACAUGGCACUGCGUUGAAAGCUGUCAUUAAAGGACUACACGAAAUGUGAGAUUACAUGCCCCACCUUUGGAAAUUUAUAGCCUGUGAAAGAGACUUGUUAUGGAUUGCUUCGUAUGUUAUAGACAAGUACUAAACAUAUCAAAUAUUUUGUUCACGUCUCUCUUAGACAAGUGAUGUCUACUCGUACUUGAAAUCCUGUCAAUAAACCAUGAAUACUUGCUGCAACUUUCUAUGGAUAGACUACUUCCAUAUUGUUGAUCUAACCAUCAAAUCAGACUGCAUAUUCACAGUACAUCCGCCUAGUAAAGAUGAACUGAUUAGACUGAAAUUUGGAAUUUGAUAAACAUACCCUUUUUGUGGGCAAGUUAUUCUAUACAUCAUAAGUCAUAGCUGCUAGAAAAAUAAUUUUCUAUAACAAGAGUUCGGAAAAAUUCACAGGAAUAUUCAAGCUGGAUAUUGCUUAAGCACGUAGCCUUCUUUCAAAGCAUGUUGCAAGUUUUCACUCUUCCAUUGAACUAGCAGGAUUUAGAUAAUGAUUUGAAAUGUGCCAUACUUUGUAUUCUUGCAACCUUUGAAAUGGCUGUGUUCCAAUUCUCUUAUUAUUUGUUAAAUCUUUUUCAAAUUUGAUGUAGACUUUUCAGUUGCAAGGUUAUUUACAUUGUAUACUCAGUUUUUGUAAUAUCAUAUAAAAUUAUAUUAAAUGAGAUUUGCUUCUUGUUUUUUAGUUGUUUUUCUUAUCUGCAUAUCACUUUUAUUUUCUGAAUGGUCACCACGUUGGCACAGCCUCUUAGUGUUGGUCAUACAUUUAAUUACUCUCUCAAUUCUUAAGCAAUCAUUCGAUCUUAGAGAAAGACCUCUAGACAGUAGCAUGUGAUCGGUUGUGAACCAUAGUCUGAUUAUCUCCAACUAGGCCCUUCAAGAACAAUAAAGAUCUGUAUGACUGAUAUUUCUCAUAAUUCUACAGGUCAUAUAUCAACAUUAAGCCGUGUUGUCAAUACGAAGAGAACAUGUGCCAUGUCUGAUGCAUGUCUGAAAAGAAACGAGUACUGUAAGGGAUAAAAGAAAAUAUACUGUCUAUCAAAUUUCCGUCCAAUCAGUCAUAUAUUACUAGUGUUGAAGGCGAAUGUACAGCCUGAGAGAAAGUUUGAAACAUAUUGAAGGAAGUGCUUAUCAUUAUUAAACCAAACAUCCAGUUUUUACACCUUUCUUAUGCUUCUGAUCAUACUUACUAAUGCUUUUAAGUAUCAGACUAUUUCAAUUGCUCAACUUAAAAGCGAUAAGGUAUACAGCAAUGAAUAAAAGGCCAACACGAAACACUUAGUCCUCUUUUAAACCAUUCCUCCUCUGCAUGGCUAUCGAAAUAAGAGUUUAUAAUAUCUAUAUUGACUUGAAAUUCAUGUUUAACUUGCUACUUAUGUGUAGAUUGUGGAUGGACACAGAACUUGCAAUGGAAGACUUUUCAUAAUUAGGUCAAUAAGUGAUAAGCCUGAACUCUAUUAUUUGAUAAGUUUAGCUUCUGUUUUAGUCUAUAAUGCUAAUUAAUAUAUGCUCACUGUGUUUUAUGAUUUUUUGUUUGAGUUUUGUUGUAUCAUGUAUGGCCUAUGGCCUUGCCAGUACCACCUUCGUACAUUACCAUAUCUAUAAAAUAAGUGCAUGACUUGUGUUUGUGAAUAGAAUGCAAGAAUUUAAGAUCACACAAAAAAUAACAGAUGAAUUCACAAGAAUAUAGUUUGAUUAGAUUCUCAUUUCAGAUUUCCACUUCUUAAUGAGGAAACAUCAAAAUGGAUAACAAAAUUCCGUAUGUACAAAUUUUUUCUCAACUAGUCAAUCCUACACUGUUCUAUGUUAUCAAGCUAAUGUGAAUUUUUUUGCAGCAUGAAUUAAUUAUAGGCUGUUCAAACUAGAAGUUGCAUGUAAGAAGACAUCUUCCUUGCAGGGAAUUGUAAGACCGCCCAUUGGAUGACAGUAACCAAAUUCCUCUUCGGCUUGGUUAAGCAAUUCUUGAAAUAAAGGCUCGUUCAAGAAUGAUACCGGAAUCAAGAACCUCCUUGCUUUCUCUCCAACAUACACUGCAAAAUGGCCUUUUGGAACUUCCACUUGUUUGCCAGAUGAUGAUCGUCUAAUACCAGGUAAGCGAAAACCCAUUCUUGUUUUUGUUUCUUGACAAAAGAAUUAUCUCAAAUGUUUAGUUGAAGAAAGAAGUGAACUAGAUUUCUGAUGAUUCAAAGUAUGAAUGGUUUGUGUUACUUGUAAACUCAAUAAUGGAUAUAUAUAGAAAACCAAUUAUAUGGAGAAUGAGUUACUGAAUGAGGUUUUGUGGGAGCCAUGGCUCAUUAAUGAUCACAUGGUACUGUCUUGAAGGCUUUCAUAGAGGACUACACGAAAUAUGAGAUCACAUACCCCACACCGUUUGGAAAAUUAGUGUAUGAAAGAGACCUCACAUAACUUAAUAUAUUUCAGACAAGCUCUAAAAACACAUCAAAUAUUUCUCGCAACCCAUUUUCAUUUUCUGAAUGGUUACAAUGUUGACACAGCUUUUUAAUGUGGGACAUGAAUUCAAUUACUCUGUCGAGUCUUAAGAAAUCACUCAUUUAAUCUUUGAGAAAGACCUCUAGACAGUAUCAUGUGAUCUCUUGUCAACAUUAAGCUGUGUUGUCAAUGUGAAGAGAACAUCAUGUGACAUGUCUAAUGCAUGUCUGAAACGAAAUGAGUAGGCAUUGUAGAAGCUAGCAUUGAGUUUAACAUAAGCCUUUCAUUCAGAAGGUUGGGUUUGCACUCUUGUCGAACGUAUUGAUCAUUAACAGAGGCAUCUAAGACAACACCAUGUGAUCUCUCAAAUUGUAGAAGCUAGCAUUGAGUUUAACAUAAGCCUUUCAUUCAGAAGGUUGGGUUUGCACUCUUGUCGAACGUAUUGAUCAUUAACAGAGGCAUCUAAGACAACACCAUGUGAUCUCUCAUCUCAUGCCCCCCAUCAUUUUAUCUCUGUUUUCUCUAGCAAAGGGAUUUCAAGAAAUUCUUGAAUACUAUAAAUAUACUGUCCUCCUUCACAACAAUCACAAAUCACUCAAGCAUUCACACUUAUAUACGUUUUUCUUACAUGUGAUAAAUUCAGCCGGUUCUUCAAAAUAUUUGAAAUUCCGUUUACUUGCAGCUAUUAGACGUGCUUCAUUUAGCAGCACCCAAACAUCAUCAAAAGUGUCCAAUGUGCCAAAGGGCUUUCUUUCAAUGUUGGAGAGCAAAUGAAGCGGUUUGUGAUUCCCAUGUCAUAUUUGAACUAAUUUUCAUCCAACGGGUGGCAUCACGAUUCCUUGCACAGAAGAGGUUUUCUUGCAUAUUACUUCUCGCAUCAAUGGACUGAAAAUCUAGGUAAUCUCACAUUCGUUCCACAUUCAAUUUGGGAGAGAAUGGCUUCCACAUUCUAUAUAUGCUAGUUAUUAGUUUUACAAAAUUCAUUCUGGCACUGAAGCAUCAGAAUUCAAGUUAUCACUUUUUCUUCUGCUACUUCUUUGAGACCAUUCUACUACGUAUAGAGCAUGUAUUAGAUUCUAAAACAGAAGUUAUACCCAUCAGAUAAUAGAAUUCAGAAUGUCUAUGCACGAUGACAAUUUGUUGGCAGAUAUUGAGGAUAUUUCUAACCACUUGGUUUUACGUUUCGAGGAAAUUUUCAAUACCGAUAACAAUUGCUUGGAUAAUAGUUUGUUUGAGGAAACCAUUCCAAGCCUUGUUAACGGAAGAAUUAUUUUGCUUGAUAUUAUUUCUUCUCAACAAAGAGGUUUUAUUAACGGAAGAAAUAUCACUGACGACAUUUGUCUUGCUUCUGAGGCUAUUAAUAGGCUUCAUCUUAGAUCUUUUGGAGGAACUAUUUUCAUGAAAAUUGACAAAUUAUCUAUUUUCCUUUAAAUGGUAAAGCUGCAUGUUUCUUUUCUUACAAGAGAGAGGUGACACAAGGGAAUCCCUUAUCUCCUCUUUUACUUUUAUCUUGCCAAAGAGGUCUUGAGUAGAGCAAUACUAAUCUGGAUGAUAACGGUUAUAGCUUUUAUGAUCAAUGGUCCAAGAGGAAUUUCUCUUGAGCUCUUCAUUCAUCGCUUCUUCUAUUGAUUCCUCCAUCUCGUGUGCUCUUAAGAUGAGAAUGGCUCAGGUAAAGGACAAUAGUAUUUGGAAGAUUAGCAAAAGUGUAUUGUGAAUUUCUUGUGUGAUUAUUGGAUUGAGGAUUCCUUGGCUGCCAAGUUACAUAUCCAUUUAAUUUACCAUCAUCUUUUAACUGCUAAGGUUAGUGAUUUUAUUCAAAAUGACAGACGGAUUGUUCCUCUCACACUAUCAAGCAAGCUUAUCCGAGUAUCGCCCAGAUUUUGCGUGGUGCUAUAAUUCUUCAGAUUAAGUCUCAAGAUCAUCUCAUAUCGAAAUAUUCCACUAGUGAAACUCAUACUUUUAAG